UAGGGAAUAUUAGAAAUGGACGAAAGUCUGAUCUAGCAACACCGCGUGUGCGAAGAAGGCCCUCGGGUUGUAAAGCACUUUUUGGAAGGAUUAGGAAGGAAUGUACUUCCAGAAUACGUCUCGGCUAACUACGUGCCAGCAGCCGCGCUAACACGUAGGAGGCAAACGUUAUCCGGAUUUACUGGGCGUAAAGCGCGUGUAGGUGGUUCUGUCAGUAGGGCGUGAAAGCUCCUGGCUCAACUGGGAGAGGCCGUUCUAAACUGCAGAGCUAGAGGAUGGUAGAGGGAGGUGGAAUGCCGGGUGUAGAGGUGGAAUGCGAAGAUAUCCGGGGGAAAACCAGUGGCGAGAGCGGCCGCCUGGACCAUUCCUGACACUCAGACGCGAAAGCUAGGGUAGCAAACGG
rnacentral:rRNA from 1 species